rnacentral:lncRNA from 1 species
AUUGGCCAGGGCGGGGAGAUGGAGGCUGUGUUCAGGCUGGUCCACGCUGGGUCACCCAUGUGACCUGCUGCUUAGCAAUUCUUUGUCACCAUCUUCCCUUCUCAGCCUCUUUUUCCAUGCUAAGAGGCAUAAAUGAAAUGAUAAAAGUUUGAGCUCUUCUCAUGGAAUUCUUGUGAUACAGAUAUGUGCUACAUGUUCACUAUCUCAUUGGUCUUCACCAUGAUAACUGUGGAGUAAGAAUUAUCAGCAGUUCGCAGAUUAUGGACUUGAGACUGACAGUUUGGCUUCCCUGUUCCAGGUGGCAAAGCCUGUGGGGUAUUCACCUACCUGCUGCAUGAAGGCAGCAUGGAGGGACUGUGGUGGAUUAUCUGCAAAGAUGGCCCAAAUUCUCUCAUCCCUGCAGGUACAUACAAGCCAGGUUUCCAGAAGUUCCCUAGUCAUUGGGCAUUUCUGAGACUCUUGAUGCAUAUGCCAAGUAGUUAUGGAGAAAGACAUAGCCGCUUACCUCUGCAGGCAUCAUUGUGUGAAAGGAAGACCGAGGCUGUCUCACCACCCUUGAAGAGAAGCCU